AAAUAUUGAGUCUGGUUAACCUGGACUUAUAAUUCAAGGUGUCUAUCUUAAAUACAUUAUUUA
rnacentral:tRNA from 1 species